rnacentral:lncRNA from 1 species
AUGCUCAAAUACUCAACUCCGCAGCUGUUUGACCUCUUCAACCUCACCAUCUCAUCCUGCAUCUCAUUGAUUAAACACCUCGGACUCCUACGCCGACCACGCUACAUCCACAGAGGCUCUCGCCGCAGAUUUAUUUAUUCCCAGCACGGACAAUCCAUUCAAUCCAUCUGCUCAGCUGCACGCCCCGUCGCACCUCUGCCGCGUCAUCAGAGCGCUGCCGUCUGUGGACCUCUUACAUCGCAACCUGCCUGGCAGGAUACAAAACCCGGACUGGACCUCUGUGCUCACCGCCCUCUGAUUACAUCUACCACUUCACCAAACACCAAAACCAAGCUACUCGACGUCCAACCAUCUGCUAAUCCACCUACUGCCCCUCUCCCACUGCACCUCCACCCCUCCCCAGCACCUCCCCUCACUUCUAACCGGGACAACCUCAGACCUUUCUGGCCUGCCCCGAUCACAACACCUUCUUACUCUGCCAACCUUGCGCUACUCAACACCCGAUCACUUAACAAUAAAGCCCCUGCCCUCCAUGAACUAAUCCUCAACAACACCCUGGAUUUCCUUCUCAUCACUGAAACCUGGCAACAACCCAACGACUUCUUCUCCCUCAACCAAGCAUCCCCCCCUGGUUUUAGCUACAUCUCCAAACCCCGCCCCUCCCGCCUCGGAGGUGGACUCGCCGUUAUUUUCAAUCAGAAUUUCCGGAUCUCAGAACUCACCCUCCCCUCAGUAUCAUCCUUUGAAUUCCUUGCCUUCAAAGCACUAUCCUCCACGACAGUUGUCCUCAUCUACCGGCCACCUAAACCAAACCCCUCCUUCCUCUCUGACUUCACCGAGUUCCUCACACUAGCCUCAUCCCUCUCCCCACGUCUGCUGCUACUCGGUGACCUAAACAUCCACAUGGACUCCCCCACCUGCAAACUCUCCAUUGAAUUCACCACUCUCCUGGAAAAUUUAGCACUCACCCAGCAUGUCACCUUCCCCACACACGACAAAGGACACAUCCUCGACCUCGUCUGCACCAUUAACACACCGGUGCUCGACCUCCACUCAUGCCUCUUUCCCCUCUCUGACCAUAAACUCAUACGGUUCAGCAUCCCUUCUCCCACCCCCCCGACCCCGCCUCUCCAGAGAAAUCACCUUCCGCAACCUCAAAUCCAUCGACCCUCACCAUCUCUCUGA